AGGGGCCGGCGGGAGCUGCUCUCGUCGGCUCGGCGGUCGCGGCGCCCGCAGUCUGGAGGCGCACCGGAGCGGCCGGGGCGCCCCCCGCGGGAGCCCGCAGCCACCCGGGACGCGCAUCCAGCCGUGGCGCUUCGGGCCGGGCACACUGCGCCCGGGGGCUCCGCGAACCCAGCGCAGCCGCCGCUUCGGAGCUUGUGCGGCGCGGGCUGGCCAGCGGGGCGGCCAGGGCCAGGCCCGCCUCCCCAGCGCCCGCCCGGCUUCUCCCCCUGGCGGUGGGAGCUUCGGCGGCCGCCGGCGACACUAGGCGCACUGGAGCCCGAGCCGAGCCGAGCCCGAGCCGCCGCCGCCGCCGCCGCCGCUACUGCGCGCUGCUCCCGGGCUCCCUCCCAGCGCGCGGGCCGGGGUGUGGGGGGCGGCGGGCCGGAGGGGCGAGGGCGGGCCAGGGGGCGCGCUUGGGGGUUGGCGCGAAGACCGGACCCUCAGCCGCGAGGGAGCCCCUUGGUGACCAGGCAAAAUGACAGUUCUCUCCAGCUGGUUCUUAGAUGGGCAUAUCUAUUAGCCUCUGCUCUCGGAAGAAGUUAGCUGCAGAAUCCUUAUAGGACUCUGGAGAAGAUCAAAUGGGAGCUUGGAUGUGGAAGCUCUUUGGAAACCAAGAAGCACUCUGUAAAUGAAAAGGACAGAGUCUUGCUCUGUUGCCUGGCUGGAGUGCAGUGGCUCGAUCUCGGUUUCCUUCAAUCUCUACCUCCUGGGUUCAAGCCAUUCUCUUGCCUCAGCCUUCCGAGUAGCUGGGACUACAGUGUAUGGAAAGGGAAUUGAAGAGCAAGCCAAAUAAAGAAAAGAAACUACUACCCAUACAACUUGCAACACGUAUGGCCUGUAUCACCACACAACCUGCGAAUAAUAAGAAAUAUGGGGCCUUGCUAUGAUGUUCAAUUGCUUGGGAUUAUUAAAUGCAUUUUCGACUUUAAGGUAUUUUUAACUUAUGAUGGGUUUAUCAGAAUGUAACCCUAUCAUAUGUUGAGGAGCAUCAGUCAACAUUUCUGUGAUUUGUACUGAUUAUUGUCACAAAUAUUGCUAAUAUCUCUAUGUUCGUUACCUAGAUUCAUAAUUGAAGGCCAUGCUAAAUUUCAGUUAGAGGUUAUGAACGUUCCUGUUUGGCAGUUGAUGGUCCUUUUAAAGAUCUGCAUCAGUUUUUUCUAGCUCAGAUACGGGAUCUUGCUAUGUUUCUCAGGCUGAUCUCAAACUCCUGGCCUCAAGAAAUCCUCUUGUCUUGGCCUCCUAAAGUACUGGGAUUAAGGGUGUGAGCCACCCCGUCUGUCCAGGAUGAAAAGUUUUCAGGAAAAUGAUUUUGUUAAUACCAUGAAAGAUGAAAAGAAAGAAGACAGGACUGGAUGGGGGAAAUCUUUUAAGAGGUAAUUCUUGUGGUCCAGAAGCAUCAUUGUCAUCUAACCUUUUGCAAUGGCAUUAGAGACUGGAAGAGAAGUUCUUUUUACAUCAAUAUCUACUUCUUUUGGAAUAAUUUAUAUCAAUAUAUUUGUUCAUGCCUAUCUCAGAAACCAAAAUGUAGGUCCUCCUCUUUUUAAAAAGAAAUUAUAUAUAUAUAUAUAUAUAAACAAACCAGGUAUUAGACUUCUGAAAAGAUAAAUACAUCUUUACUCACAUCUCAACCUGGACUAUAUUUGAAAUCAUAAAGCUUCUUGAUUUCUAAGAUGAUAUAAAGUGAUAGAUUUUUGAGUGAAUGUAGGGAAAAACUAUUUGAAGUCUUUAUGCUUUCUGAGUUCAAUAAGUAGUUUUCCAUUUGAAAUAUGUACAUGUUUUGCCCUUCCCUAUGUGUUCAUCUUCCUACCUGAACAAUAUUUGUUUGCCAAGGGUAUAAAGCCUGUGCAAUGAUAGCUUUACAGGCAGAUGGUAGGUUCAGUCUGAUUGCACUGAAUGAAGUGCAGUGAUUUGCACUCACUCUUUCAUAAGAUAUUAAUUUUGGAGGUUAUUGGAAUAAACCCUAUACAUUAUAUAGAUUUGUCACUUUUAUCUAUUUAAAAAUAUCUGUUUUUAUUACCUUUUGACUAUUUUCUCACUGUGCUAAAUAUUAAACUACCUCUUCCUUAUUUAGUCAUUAUUUUAAGGAGCUAUGAGUUUCAUGUGCCACCUUUUUAAUUUAAUUGAUUAAAAGCAAAACUAAUUUUCUUAAUCACAGUUUGCUUGGCAUUACACAGCCCAACUUGCAGGCAGAGAAAAGAAUACAAAACAAAUAAGCAAUCUGUACUUAAAAAUAAGUUUUGGACAGUAAAAACAAAUGGAAAAUUGUACUCAAGAAAGCCAUGCUAAUUAAGUGGCGGAGUUGUAUUUUUAAUGAAUAAAUCAAUGAAAGAAAAUAUCUUAUGAUAUCAGGGGGUGAGGCAGUUGGGAGAGGGGCAUUUCAGAGAAAAGCCUCUGGAGGAGAUGGAGUCUGAGUUGAGUGUCUAGGGAAAGCAGUAUUUUGUUAGGUGAAGAAGGUAUAGGGAAGCCAUUUCAGUCAGGGAAAACAGAGUCUACAAAGCAGGGAUGCAAGAGAGAACAUUUGAAACACUUGCCGUUGUUAAAUGCAAUGACAUUUCAGAUAUGCCAUUUUCACUCAGAGAAAAAUAAGCAAAAUUGAGAUGCCAAGUUUGGAAAAUUGAUAUCCCAUUUCACAUCUGAAUUAUUGAGAAAUCCUUAAACACAAAAUGUGCAUUCCUCUGCUGUUUUUGAAAACUAAAUGUUUGAACAUUACCUCUUUUGCUGAAAGUAAACACUUUAUAAUGAACCAAA